rnacentral:snoRNA from 1 species
CAACAUGAUGGGGACAUUUUCUGAUGAGGUCCUUUAAUCUUUCGUAUGACUCAUGGAACUAUUCACCAUCUUGCUGUGAGAAGCUAGUGAGAGAUCAUCUUAUUUG